CCUACGGGUGGCAGCAGGGGGGGAUAUUGGACAAUGGGGGGAACCCUGAUCCAGCGACGCCGCGUGAGGGAAGAAGUAUUUCGGUAUGUAAAGCUCUGUCAGCAGGGAAGAAAGAAAUGACGGUACCUGACCAAGAAGCCCCGGCUAACGACGUGCCAGCAGCCGCGGGAAUACGUAGGGGGCAAGCGUUAUCCGGAAUUACUGGGGGUAAAGGGAGCGUAGACGGUUAAGUAAGUCUGGAGUGAAAGGCCGGGGCCCAACCCCGGGACUGCUCUGGAAACUAUUCAACUUGAGGGCAGGAGAGGUAAGCGGAAUUCCUAGGGUAGCGGUGAAAUGCGUAGAUAUUAGGAGGAACACCAGUGGCGAAGGCGGCUUACUGGACUGUAACUGACGUUGAGGCUCGAAAGCGUGGGGAGCAAACAGGAUUAGAUACCCUAGUAGUC
rnacentral:rRNA from 1 species